UCUAUUGGAUUCCUAGCAUUUUCUCAAGAGAAGCAGCCCUGGAACUUCUCUUCAGGCAUUAGUUAGUGCACUGGAAUUAUUUGGUGCUUCUCGAGGGCGUCAUGGUCCCAUCAAUUUUGAGACAACAAAAAGAGUCUUCUUUGAAUGGCGUUUUCAUCAGUAUGAACUUGGGAGAAUAAAAGGAGAAUUUGACAAGGGGUGCCCUGCAUGUGAUACAACACCUGUGGCUGUACAUAUUGAUGGCAACAAGAAACUGUAUCGUUACAACAAAGUUGGGAGAGGGAUCAGAAACUCAUAUUAUUCUGGUGGUAUCUUCGCUUGUGACAAAGAAGUUCAAGAUCACGUUUCCACUAUUCAGAACCUUAAAACUCAAAGUAGCCAUAUGUGUGGAGUGUCGACAUUGAAAGCUGCCAAAACUAAACCUGUUUCAUUUAGAAGUUUGGAUGAAACCGGCAUAAGCAUGGCUUCCUGUCGACAUGGAAUUAUUCUUGCUGCAUUAAAUAUGUAUCAGGGAGAGCUCUACAGUUAUGCCCACUAUUUGCAAAUGAACCGUUUACAAAAUGUGUCCUUCAUAUGCCAGGAUAUCAUCUGUAAAUACUGGCCAUGGGCCUUAAAGAUUUC